CGCGAUGAUUCUCCGCCUUGCUGGUCGGGGCUGACGAAACAGGUACCGCCGAACGGACUGCCGGGGACAAGUGCGCCAGACCCAGCCUCCGGGAUAAGACAAUUGGCGCCUCAAUGCGGGGCUCAGUGAAGGAACGCGACCCUGAGUCCGGGUUACAACAGUGAAAGGCUGUUAAUCAUGAAGACCCGUAUGUGGACCAGUAGCAGUUGACAUCCGCGAGUGGCAGAUCAAGUGUGGACAGCCAGGCAAGAAGGAAAGAGCCUUAUCCCAGAGGUCAGUGCUUUGCUGGGGCCUGGCGGUGCUGGUUCCGUGCUGGAGGUGGGCAGGAACAGAG